CGGACGGGUGAGUAAUGUCUGGGAAACUGCCUGAUGGAGGGGGGUAACUACUGGAAACGGUAGCUAAUACCGCAUAACGUCGCAAGACCAAAGAGGGGGACCUUCGGGCCUCUUGCCAUCGGAUGUGCCCGGAUGGGAUUAGCUAGUAGGUGGGGUAACGGCUCACCUAGGCGACGAUCCCUAGCUGGUCUGAGAGGAUGACCAGCCACACUGGAACUGAGACACGGUCCAG
rnacentral:rRNA from 1 species